GACGAACGCUGGCGGCGUGCUUAACACAUGCAAGUCGAACGGAAAGGCCUCUUUCGGGGGGUACUCGAGUGGCGAACGGGUGAGUAACACGUGAGUAACCUGCCCUUGACUUUGGGAUAACUUCAGGAAACUGGGGCUAAUACCGGAUAGGAGCUCCUGCUGCAUGGUGGGGGUUGGAAAGUUUCGGCGGUUGGGGAUGGACUCGCGGCUUAUCAGCUUGUUGGUGGGGUAGUGGCUUACCAAGGCUUUGACGGGUAGCCGGCCUGAGAGGGUGACCGGGCACAUUGGGACUGGGAUACGGCCCAGACUCCUACGGGAGGCAGCAGUGGGGAAUAUUGCACAAUGGGUGGGAGCCUGAUGCAGCAACGCCGUGUGCGGGAUGACGGCCUUCGGGUUGUAAACCGCUUUCGCUCACGACGAAGCUUUGUGUGACGGUAGUGGGUAAAGAAGCACCGGCUAACUACGUG
rnacentral:rRNA from 1 species